rnacentral:rRNA from 1 species
AUUGAACGCUGGCGGCAGGCCUAACACAUGCAAGUCGAGCGGGGUUUUCGGACCUAGCGGCGGACAGGUGAGUAAUGCGUAGGAAGCUACCCGAUAGAGGGGGAUACCAGUUGGAAACGACUGUUAAUACCGCAUAAUGUCUACGGACCAAAGUGUGGGACCUUCGGGCCACAUGCUAUCGGAUGCGCCUACGUGGGAUUAGCUAGUUGGUGAGGUAAUGGCUCACCAAGGCGACGAUCCCUAGCUGGUUUGAGAGGAUGAUCAGCCACACUGGAACUGAGACACGGUCCAGACUCCUACGGGAGGCAGCAGUGGGGAAUAUUGGACAAUGGGCGCAAGCCUGAUCCAGCCAUGCCGCGUGUGUGAAGAAGGCCUUCGGGUUGUAAAGCACUUUCAGUAGGGAGGAAGGGUGUUGUGUUAAUAGCACAGCAUUUUGACGUUACCUACAGAAGAAGCACCGGCUAACUCUGUGCCAGCCGCCGCGGUAACAC